GGGCCUGGUCUUCGGAUCAGGCCAGUGGCGUAAGGGUGAGUAAGGCGACGGCAACCAACCCCAUGGUUGGGUAUAGCCGCGGGAAACUGCGGGUAAUUCCCAGCGAUGUUUUUGCCGGGCAUCCGGCAUAAACCAAAGCUCUGGCGCCGUGGGACGGGUCGUCGUGGUAUUAGGUUGUUGGCGGGGUAAUGGCCCACCAAGCCUCUGAUGCCUACCGGGCGUGCGAGCGUGGCCCGGCACACUGGGACUGAGACACUGCCCAGACUCCUACGGGAGGCUGCAGUCGAGAAUCUUCGGCAAUGGGCGCAAGCCUGACCGAGCGACGCCGCGUGGAGGAUGAAGGCCUUCGGGUUGUAAACUCCUGUCGAGGGGGAGGAAGGCGCAAGCUUGACCGAUCCCUGGAGGAAGCACGGGCUAAGUUCGUGCCAGCAGCCGCGGUAAGACGAACCGUGCAAACGUUAUUCGGAAUCACUGGGCUUAAAGCGCGUGUAGGCGGACGGGGACGUCGGUUGCUGAAAGCCCCCGGCUCAACCGGGGAACGGGCGCCGAAACGGCCUGUCUAGAGGGACGCAGGGGGACCUGGAACUUCCGGUGGAGCGGUGAAAUGCGUUGAGAUCGGAAGGAACGCCCGUGGCG
rnacentral:rRNA from 1 species